CCUACGGGUGGCAGCAGUGGGGAAUAUUGGGCAAUGGGCGCAAGCCUGACCCAGCAACGCCGCGUGAAGGAAGAAGGCUUUCGGGUUGUAAACUUCUUUUGACAGGGACGAGCAGAAGACGGUACCUGUCGAAUAAGCUACGGCUAACUACGUGCCAGCAGCCGCGGUAAUACGUAGGUGGCAAGCGUUGUCCGUAUUUACUGGGUGUAAAGGGCGUGUAGUCGGGCUGACAAGUCAGAUGUGAAAUCCGGGGGCUCAACCCCCGAACUGCAUGUGAAACUGUUGGUAUUGAGUAUCGGAGAGGCAGGCGGAAUUCCUAGUGUAGCGGUGAAAUGCGUAGAGAUUAGGAGGAACACCAGUGGCGAAGGCGGCCUGCUGGACGACAAUUGACGCUGAUGCACGAAAGCGUGGGUAUCAAACAGGAUUAGAUACCCGUGUAGUC
rnacentral:rRNA from 1 species